AUAUAUAUAUAUAUAUAUAUAUAUAUAUAUAUAUAUAUAUAUAUGAGGAACUAUGUGUGUGUGUGUGUGUAUGCUAUAGCAAACCAACACAUUCUGUUUGACAAUCAUUUUUUCUUUUUUACAUUUUACAGCUUACAAAUAUACCUGAUCUUUUGACAAGAUUACAGAUUCUGUUUGACACCUAAAUUUAUAUGCUAUAUAAAAAUCUCUCAUCAUACAUUCAUGAUUAGAAAAGUAGGUUAUAUGACAUAAAAACGAAAGAACAAACUAAACACCACAGUAUGCAGUUUCAACAGAAUUUCAUCAAGAGGAAUGGGGGUGGAGGUUGCCAGUCGUUCAUAUUAAACCCACCAUGGAGCUCUCUGAGAGGAGAUCGCUGCUACUCCAGACUCGUUGGUACAGUGAAGACAUCAAGGAACAACAGCAGUACUGUCACAUAGGAGUAAAGUAGCUGAUCUCAGUUCAGAGUCAUAAAGUAAUAUAUUAUCAUGAGUUCUAAUGGGUGUUUGAUUAAAAACUAAACCUUGCGUUGCUAACUGCAUGCUAAACUUCAUACCUCGGUAUCUCUCUUCUUUCACCAGAGCUCACUUAAGGCUUAGUCCAAAGAUUAUGCAAAUGCUUUCAAGCUUUCCUUUCAUGCCUUGAAAUCUCAGCAUGAGACAUCUGCCUGAAUUUGAAAUCUUUCUCACAUCUGUGGGACAAAGUUUAACUAAACUUCAAGAGGGAGCUGUCAUUCGAGUAUAGCACAACUAAGAAACCUGUAGUAAAAGCAAGCACUGCGGAUGCUUCUUUAACAGGCAGGCUUUUUUCUUUUUUUUACGUGUGAGACAGUGGAAUCUGCAGGGCAGGGUUAGUACGGCAGGGGUGGACUGAAAAGUUGCUGUCUUAAAAAAUACAGCUGCUUUAGUCAUUGCUUCAGACGUGGGUCCACCUUCUCUGGGAAACCAAAAUCUCCCCAGUGAGGUUCGGUUUUAUACAAAGUAUUGCUGAAUAUGAAGCAUUGCAUUUCUUUAUGAAGUUUGCUACACUUGUCUUGUUUAGGAUACACUGGCAUCACAUCAUUUAAAAACCCCAGAUGUCACAUGCUUUAAGCUAGCCAGCAUUUUAGUUGUUUUCUUUUAAACUGUAAAUAACAUAGACGUCUCCUCACACUGGUGCAUUAUUAUAUAACAUCUGCAAGCACUGAUCUACUCAAAACAUCUAAAUAGAAAACAAAAAAGAGUUGCAACUCAUCUUCAAUACUGCUUCACUAACAGAAAAUCAGACUGAAAUAUAUAUUUUUAACCCAAAUCUUGUAAAGUAGUUUUGUUUAUUCAUGUUUCCUCUCUGAAAGCCUCCAGAACCCUGCCGGAGCGUGACUCUGGGCUGAACAGAACUCUGAUGGCAGGACCGUGUGUCAGACAGACAUUCAUAUCAAGAGACAGCUGGGAUUACGCAGUUCUCUCCAGCUGAGGGGUUACCAUGGUGUCUGGCUGAGAAGGACCACAGGCAUACCUGAUUGGGAUUAGGAGGACCAUGACCAGAGGGAAGAUCAUCUUCAUGUAUGGUAUGGGGUACAUGCCAAAUGUGCACAGCACCAGCAGCUGCAUCAUCUGCAAAAAGGGAUGAUAAUUUGGAGGAGGUGAUGGAACAAGGUGAAACUAAAAAAGAAGGAUCUUCACAAAUGUAAGUACAAGGUUGUAUCUGUAUACGGCUGUCACAUUUGUCAGGAAAAGUAAACAAUAAUUACUUUAGUAGGUUAGCUUUUGUGGGAAUUGAAGAAAACAUUAACGAGGAAGAGUACAACAAUAUUCAAAACUCUGUGUAAGUAUUCAGAUGUUAAUAAAAUGUGUCUAAUUUUCCAUACUAAAAACUUUUUUGUGUGUAUUCAGGAUAGAGUCAUCAGAUGACACAUGGCCACCAGAGAACCAGAAGUUGAUUUGUCUUCAGAGGAGGACAAAACCAUCUAGAUGGACAGCGGUACUGAUGAUGGCGGUGAUGAGGACUACACACCUUAAAUACACAUAAGAUACCAUAAAAUAUUCAACAAAAAAUCUAGAUGCUGGAGGCUGUAUUCUGAGAAGGUGGCAAAAGACUUCUCCUACAUCCCAGAGAUCCAAACCAUGAUCGUCAACCAACGUUUGACAAGCAAGAAAGGUCUUCCUCGACGCUACAAGCUAAGGCCUGAGGAUCCAAGGCGUUAUGGUUUGCUGUCCGGAGUCCCUGCACCAUCAACAGAGGAACUUCUACAACACCUACGGACUCAUGGUGAUGGUAAAACUUUACCAAAGACAUAGGUGUUGGGGGAGGCAAGAGAAAACCCAAAACCUUCUUUAUUUUUGUGUUUCCUGUUUUUUUUUCUUUUUUUUUGAAAAUAAAGAUAUUUUUUUUGGGAAAUAAGGACUAAUAAUUUAAAAAUGUAUGUAAAAUGCUGGAGGUAGACAUAAGUUUUUGUUGUUGUGCAGGAGUUUAACAUUUAUGGUAUUUUUACAAAUGCAACACAGGGUUAUGCUUUAGAACACUUUAUUAGAGCAUCAAACAAAAAUAUAUAAAAAAACAAAUGUAUGUAAAAUAUCAAAUAUAUACAUUUAUUUACAAUCACCUUGGAAUAAAACCAGUGGGGUCAGGGAAUUUUUCCCUUAUCCUCCAGACCACAGCUUGGGAUUACUACCCUGCGACCUCCACCAAGUUUUCCAUGCUGCCAUGCUACAAAUUGUCUGUAAGCUGCAUGGCGGAACUGUCUGUUGUCCUCACCAGGGUCCGGGUCAUCAUAAACCGCUCGAAACUCAUUCCACAAUGUUCUGGCCAGGCGAAGAACACCAUUUUGCAGAAUAAACUCCUCCAUGUGUGGGACAGUUGAAAUAAAUGUCUGGGGAGGCUGUUGGCAGCAUUUCCUUUCCAAAUCAGUUGGCAUCUCUGCAGUGGGAGCAUACACACCAUGAAGGUUUAUUGGAUGUUGGAGGUGUUGUGCCAGGUGGACCAGAGAGGGCAAGUACGUCAAAGAGAACACCAGGGUCUCUGUCCAGCACCAUGGUAAGGACGUCAAUAGCCUGCUGAGGGUUCAGGUUCUGUAUGUGUUGCUACAAACGUGGAAAGAGAUGCUACAGCAACAGUUUUUAGGAUCAUUUAGUGUAAUUUUGUUAUGCUUACACGUUCAAAGUCUAUUAGCUCGGAAUGAAGAUUCUGAACUCGAGGGAUAUCUUCAUCUCCAAGGUCCACAGCUGAGUGUCUCGCACUUCUUCGGCCUCUGGAUGCACCACGGCCUCUGGAUGCACCACGGCUUUGAGAUGAUGGUGGGCAUCUCCUUUUUGCACCACGUCUUGAGGAUGCAAUAGAAGGUUCAAACUUCCUCAGAGGAUUCCUCAAUCACUGAACUCUAAAUUGUAUUAGAAUUUUUAAAUAAUUAUACUAAUAUAAAAAGUACUCUUGCAUAUUAAUCAAUUUUGACACAGAUCAGGUUUGCAUCUAGUCCAAAUUUGGGCUAAACCAACAAUAAACACAAACUAUGAAAACAACCAUGAUUAUAGGAGGACUACACAGAAUGCAGUGUUUAUUCAUGAUUUCCACAUAAAUUAUAUGCUUUGAUAUAUUCAUCCCAUCUUGAAUGGCAAAGCAAUUAAAAAUAAGCUAAUUACUCGUAAUAAAAUGCUAACAAUUUGAUAGGAUUAAUUUUAUUUACAAUAUACAUUGUCAACUGUUACUGGUAUUUUAAAAUAUAAAUAUAUUUAUAGAUAUUCUUUAUAAAAUGCCUUUUGUAAACAAUAAGUGUUUAAUGUGCUGGUUAAAAACAACUUUCUUACCUCAGAUAACUCCAUUGCUAACACUACCUCAGCUCUAUUAUGAAGAAGCAAUGCUGCUCCGAUGUUGACUCAGCUUUUCCUGUGCGUGCACAUUAGGAGGUGUGGCUUUCGGCUCUUUCAGGAAGGGCGGGGGAGUGAGCAACAGCCGUUCGAAUUUAAAAAUCUCCUCCUCCUCACUGACGGUGUCAUCUUAUGGACCGUGCCUUUAAAUGAGGCUGCUAGCUAGCAUGCUACAUUGCACACCUUCUUGAGGUUCAUUGGGUUGUGAGGGGACACCUGCUGACAUAUCAUCAGCUGCUGAUUCUGGUAGGGACAAGGACAACAACCCAUUUACCAUAAUUAGAUGAAACAUAGUUCCUCUCACUGUGGAUAUCAGAGCUAGCAAACAGGUUGAAUUUAACCACUCACUAACUAAACCCACCUUUCUUUGAGAAAAACUGUGUGACAUACUGACGCCCUCUCUUGUGCCUGUCCUCUUUCUCCUUUCUUUCUUCGACCCAGACUUUGCUUUUGCAGACAUUUUUACUGCAGCCUUGGCGCACUCUGCUGUCUGACUGCUGCGUGAGCUGGCCUCGCCUGCUACACGCCCCUCGGCCAGGUGGACUGUACCAUUUUAUGCCAUUAGGAGUGGGGGAGUGGGGCGGGCGGUCAAAUUAAUUAGUCAAAAUAAAGUAGGGACCUCUGAAUAAAUAAAGACUUAAAGAUUGUUUGUUUAAUGUCUUAAAUGAGAAAAAAUACUGCAAAGUAAAGUACUUGUGAUUUUUUAAAUUUAUUUUUUUUAUUCAACUUUGAAACUUUUUUGGGCCCCUGACAGCUGUGGGCCCUUAGAAUCUUCCUAAUUUUUCACUGCUUUACGGUGCCCCUGCCUGUAGACCGUUGGGCCUGCUCAGGUUUACGUAGACAAGCUUUAAAUUUAGACUUGGCAUACAGAUAAAAAAUGAAUGCAGUAAAAUAAAAUAUAUUUUAAGUAAAUAUUCAUUAAAGGGGCAUUAUGGAAGUUUGACAGCCAAAACAUGUCUAGAAAUAAUAAAUGUCUUCUUCAUACAUUCUCCUGCAAUGCCCUGGUCCUGUAGAAUGAGCCCUGGCAUUUUUACUGUGAUUGCCUGUUUUUCUGUAAAAUCACAGAAAAAGAGAGAUGCUCGAGUCGAGCAGGCUGCUUCAUGCGCGUUCACGCUCAGGCUUAGCCCGUAGCAUUUGCUAGCAGCAGAGAGAGAGGUAGUGCCACUUUGUCGCUGUUCCUAACGCCUAGUGACAAAGCUAGCUACAUUUCUGAGGACCCUUAGCUACUUUCUGUAGAACUUUCUUCUAGAUAUUUCCUGCAAAUUAGCAACAAAAUAGCCAUUUUCACUCCAAACCGUUCUUUGAACGUUGUUUCAGCUGUCAUGAAGGAUAUAAAUGUUACAGAUGCAAAAGACGUCACUGGCGCUUUAGCUCACCUAGUAAAACAUUGGACUCCUGUGCAGAAGACCUGGGUUCGAAUUUCAAAGUCAAAAGUCAAAGUCAUUUAUUGUCAUCUUCUACCACAUGUGCAGGACAUGCAGAGAAAUGAAAUUCAGUUUCAGCACACACAAUUCAAAGAUCAGACAUACGUGGGUAAGACACAUAACAAGAAUUGGUGACUGCAGUCAUUCGCAACAUGAGUCGCGCUACCUUAAUAGAUAGAUGAAAAGGGUGUUACAUGAGGAUAAGUGGGGGUAGGUAAAAAAAAGGCAUAGCAGAGUUAGCCCCAGCGGGGAGUAACUCUAUUAUACAAAAAAAAAAAAACUCCUUUCAACAUGGAAGCACAAAACAGCACAGAUACAAACAUCAGAGUCCGAUGGGGAGGUGGGGAUGGGCGGGAUCCUGAAGCCUCCAAUGGGAGCUGCCACUGUGGCGCAUCGACCAGCUGCAGACCAACAGGUGGGAGGGAGAGAUAAGGACCAGAGAGCACAUUGAAGUUCCUGCAGACAUGUCAGCCUGAAGGGAGAGGGUGAAGGUCAGGACACAGCAUCUGUCGGCAUUCCUCCUUUUGUGGGGGUGUGUUGAGGCAGCCUUGAGAGGCUGCUAUGGCGUCAGAUAAGGAUAAACAUGACUUUGUUUAGGGCAGGCAGAGAUAAUCUUCCUCUCCGCCUUGGAGUCUUUAAGUGGUCAUUCAUGUCCACCAGUGAAGCCAAUUUUACAUUCCACAUCCCCGCAUCGUCCGGCGACCCUCUCCGAGAUCAAAUCCAUCUUGCACACUAACACAGGCAACGCCGCGAGGACAUUGUCCAGCUUACGGUUCACCUCGAGUAACGUCCCAGUCUGUGAGGUCACCGCCCGAGCGGCGCAUUCCGUGGGUACGGGUCACACUCCAAUCGCUCCCGUCUUCCCAAAUUUCCAGAAAACCAGAUAUCCUCCCACUCCAAUCAGAAGAAAUCCAGUGAUCAUCAGGCCGAAUAUCCACAAAUCUUCCACGUCCUUGAUGGACAGCUGAGAGAGGCACACGAUUCGCCAGACCUCCCAAGAAUCGAGUGCAUAUCCCGAUGCGAAUGUCCCCUCGGGACAGGUGGGAGCCCCCUUCUCCGUUAUCAUCGUAGAGAAAAUUUUCUCAAUCACGUUGAAUGACCAGUUAAUGAAGUCCAUAUUUCCAAAAAAGAGUAGUGGUUUCAGGAGAAAUGCAGAGAAGUGCUCUGUAGGCAGACAGGACAAGAGCCUUAGGGAAGCCGAUAAGGGAGCUGAGAAAAAAAGCGUCUGUACUCUCUGAAGGCUGAGAAAGAACAUAGUUAAUUUGGAGUCUUUUUUACAUUAAUGGUAUAUUUUUUUACAGUAAGGUGCCCAAAUUUUUAUUUGAGACUCGCCGAACAGCAUUGAAUUCACAGAUAAAAAAGAUGUGGGUUCAACUUUCAUUUUGGAACUAUUUUUCAAGCAAGGGAUCUGAGCAUGCAGGAGGACUGACCCAUCAUAAACCUUUGUCGGCUGUGCUGAAGAGAAAGGUACAGAACCAAAUUAUUUAAUUAAUUAGCUGCGUGUUCUUCUGUCCUCUGUCCUCCGGGCCACACCCACACACACACACGCACACAUGCACACACGCACACACGCACACACACACACACACACACACACACACACACACACACACACACACACACACACACACACACACACACACACACACACACACACAAGGGACUAUCUCAGCUGUUGUUUUCAUUAAGGAGUGUGCACGUACAGCAUGCGCACCUCGUGCACGAGCCUACUAUUGAAGCUGCCAUUACGCUUUUGGCCUGAGGGGGCAAUCGCAAGCAUAAAAAUUAAAAACUCUGUAAAGUCCCUUUAAUUAUUUUCCAAGCAGAGAGCCGCAUCAGAUGGAUGAAAGAGCCGCAUGUGGCUACAGAGCCAUGGAUUGCAGACCCCUGACUUAGAGAAAGGACAUAUUUGUGUUUUCUUCAACAGUGUAUGGAGGACUGCCCCGUUGACUAACAUCCAUAGCAGUGAGUAUGUCACAUUGUUCAUUGUCCAAUACUAUGUGGAGACAGUUUGACAGCGCCCCAUGACCGAGCUCUAUCUAUUGGUCUUGGCCAGACUACAGUAUAUAUAUAUACAGAGGAUGGCUUGACAGACUGACAUUAAACAACUUGCUGGACUGAUUUAAUGGUCAGCUUUACUAAUAAUUAUCUUGCAGUGGUAUCUAGUAGAAAUUAAUGCCUUGUAAGUAGAGGUGGGAAAAAUGAUCGAUUUUAAGAUGCAUCGCGAUUCAGCCGUGUAUGAUUCCGCAUCGAUGCAGCAACGUGACAUAAUGAGAUUCGCUCCCUAUGUCUAUGUCGGGGGUCGGCAACCGCGGCUCUGGAGCCGCAUGCGGCUCUUCCAUCCAUCUGAUGCGGCUCUCUGUGCUUGUAAAAUAAUGAAUGGAUAUCUAAAUAAAAUGCUUUAUAUUUUACUGCAUUAAUUUUACAUCUGUAUGCCAAUUCUAAAUGUAAAGAUUGUCUGCGUAAACCUGAACAAUUCCAACCCGGUCUUACUGUGAGACCGGGUAGACGCGUCACGCUUGUGCGUAAUCAUAUGCGUGUUCUGAGCUGACGAGGAUGUGAGAUUCUGGGCUUCUCCUCAGACGGCUCCUGGAUGUGUCGCCACAUUGGAGACAGGAACAAGCACUAUUCAGCCAAAGUUUCAUAAUCAGGGAACAUUUUCUAAGUGACAAGUCUCGCUUCAGUCGGAGGAAUCGUCCUGCAUGCGCCCUGGUUCUGCGACGUGCUCCAAGCC